GACGAACGCUGGCGGCGUGCUUAACACAUGCAAGUCGAACGCUGAAGCUUGGUGCUUGCACUGUGUGGAUGAGUAGCGAACGGGUGAGUAAUACGUGAGUAACCUGCCCUUUUCUCUGGGAUACGCCUGUGAAACUGGGUCUAAUACUGGAUACGACAUGUCACCGCAUGGUGGUGUGUGGAAAGGGUUUUACUGGUUUUGGAUGGGCUCACGGCCUAUCAGCUUGUUGGUGGGGUAAUGGCUCACCAAGGCGACGACGGGUAGCCGGCCUGAGAGGGUGACCGGCCACACUGGGACUGAGACACGGCCCAGACUCAUACGGGAGGCAGCAGUGGGAAAUAUUGCACAAUGGGCGGAAGCAUGAUGCAGCGACGCCGCGUGAGGGAUGACGGCCUUCGGGUUGUAAACCUCUUUCAGCACGGAAGAAGCGAAAGUGACGGUACGUGCAGAAGAAGCGACGGCUAACUACGUG
rnacentral:rRNA from 1 species